CCCUGGAACAGGAGAGGGACAUGGGGACUGCAGGGGACAUGAGGUGUAGGGACAUGGGAAAUAUGGUGGCUGUGGGGAUACAGGGGACAAAAGGGAUGUAGGGACAUGGGAGGAAACGGGAGGCAAGGGGACGCGGGGAGAUGUCCCUAUGGGGCCACGUGCAGCUGAGGGACAUGGUGACACCGGGGGGCUGGGGGCAGGGGGGCAGGUGACAGCGGGAGGGGACACGCGGGUACGGCCCUGCUCUUUUCAAUCCGAUCCCGGAGCUGUGAGCGGGCUGCAGGCAGAGCAGUCCCUGCUCUAGGUGGCAGCAGCCUCUUUCCCUUCUGUGCUGAGACACCCGAACACGAUUUCCCCAUUCCCUGCAUCCCUCCGAGGAACGCCACCCGGGGGGGUUUCUCCAUAGAUGCAGUGGGAACCCCUCCCAACGCUCUCAUCCUCCUGCCUCUGUCCUCUCCAUGUGGCUGCUGCAAGGUGGACCCCAAAGGGUCCCCCAAAGUCACCCCAAAGUGGCCCCAGAGGUGGCCCCCAAAAUGUCCCCCAAAGUGUCACCUAAGCUGUCCCCAAAAGUGUCCCCAGGGGUGUCUGCAAAGCUGUUCUCCUCCUGGGGUUGAACAAAUCCCAUUCCCUCAGCCCUUCUCUUUGCACCCAAAGCAUCUUCUGCUGCCGCUGCGCUGUGGUGUCACCAGGCCACCCCACUACGGUGCAGAGAGAACUCACCUUCCUGGUUAACAUCCAGCAGAAAAGAAUGAACAAGAAGCAAAGGGCAGAAAACAACUGCGGAGGAUGCUCUGGGACGGGAAUCAAGCAGGGGUGGGGGCAAGGUCCUGUUGCUCGCCAUGAGAGGUCCUCUGUGGGUGGCAUCCCAACCCCCACACCACGCAGGUUGGUGUCACCCAUGGAUGGCUGAGGGUGCACCGAUCCCGCUGUCGAUGUCACUGAUGGAGAUGUGAAAGCUGGUCAGUCCCUCCCGACUCCGAGGGACACCGCUGUCACCAGUCUCCAUCCGCUGACCCGUUGGCCACCGCUCUCUGGGUACGAUCCUGCGACCAUCGAACGGCCCACCCAUCUAACCCAUAUCUUUCCAACUUAGAGAGAAGGUGCUGUCCUGGGGGGGUCUGUCCUGCUGCCCAUGCCGUUGAUGAGGAUAUUAAAGAGGUCCCAGUGCUGACCCCCGAGGGACACCGCUGUCGCUCGUCUCCAUUUGGACCUCCAUGUCCUCCCUAUAGAGGUUCAGUGGGGCUGGUGGAUGUGGCUGAGGUUUUGGCUCCAUCAAGGCACCAGAAAGCACGGAAGACACUGAUGAAAUGUGACUGGCACGUGAAGCUUUGAUCAAUUCUUGGCUGAAGAGCUGGAAAAUGGAAACUCUGAGAAAUGAGACCUCUGGUGCAAGGACCAUCCCACACCUCGCUUGGGUUCGGCAGCGCUGAGCUCCAGCCCGGUGCCCAGGGAUGGGUGCAGCCCUCGGAGGAUAUUAAUAAAACACCGCGUGCCAUUGGGAUUGAGCUGCAGAGAUCUGCCUGGCCCUGGGGUGGGAGUGCUGUGACGGCUUUUGGGUUUGUUUUUUUUUACCAGGAAAGCCCUGAAAGCUGCAAAAAACACCUUUUUCUGGCACCUUCUCCAGCAGCCGCAGGAAUUCAGGUGCUGCGCGCACACACCUGAAAGUGCAAUAAGUGGUGUCAGCAAAUGCCAGGCAGCUAUCCUGUGUCAAACCAGAUAAAAUCAGCUCCAUCCCCGUCCUCUGUGUCUGUUCGCACACGUACGGUGUGCAAGUGAUCCGGCAGAAAUUUGGAGAUGACUUCCAUCGCCUCACCCCAACCGCGCUGGGCGAGGAACCAAAGAGAUUUUGCAGCUCCAUUUCAUGCAGGUGGAAAACCUCCCCGAGCCGAUCAGAAAUGGGGAAGACUGCUCUCUGUGAACGAGCAAGGUUGAACCGGGUCAGGGUGUCUAUGGGCUGGGGAGACCUUGGGUUGUUUCCAUAGAAAACAGCGGGACAAUGACUCACGUAAAUACCGAGCACGCUGCCUUGAAGGGGACACGUGGACGACGUGGCCUUGAGGGCACAGGGCACAUUGGUUUCUGCAGAAAUCCAUUUUGCUGCCGAGAAGGAAAGGAUUGCUCUGUGUUGACCACCCACCACAAGAGCAUCGGGAGGCAGAAGUGCACAUGCAAGGUUUUGCCCUACACCCUACAAGUAAAGAAAAGCUCCAAGGGAAGGGGCUGGCUUCUGGGCAGUGGGAUUUCGUGGGGCUCCUGAGAUGGGAAAGCAGAAAAUGCUCAGCAGCACAGCAGGAAAAUGUGGUUUCAUGCCUGAGACAGGAGCAGAUCCAAAACAAAGAUAAGGAAGCUUUGCAUGACGACGGGAGCGGGGCCGGGUAUUCAUCCAGCUGCCUCCAGCACGAGCUGGGGAAAGCGUGGAGCUCGCUGCCAAAGCUGAAGGCUUCAAAGGGAUCCACCAGGAUGGGUGCACGGCUCAGAGCUGUGGGUCCAAGACCUGAUGUAUGGGAGGACUCAGGAGCAGAACCGCUGAGCAGAAAUUGCUUUAUACCCAGGGAAGGAGGGGAAGCGUGUCCCUUUGAUGGGGAUGAGAUGAUGCUGCCUGUGAUCCGCAUCCCAUGGGGGCUGACAUCACUGCUGCGUGCAGCCGUGCGUGUCCAGACAGCAGCGGGAGGCAUCGGGCGCUGCGGGGCGUGAGUCAACUCGUCCCCAGGCAAAGAUCUCUGCCAGCUCAGGGGAAUUGAGCCCAAGGAGAGAUUGCACCCUGAUUCCCUGCCAGAAGCACGAAGGCAAGACUGGGUGCUGGCAGAAGCGUGCACCUCGAUGCUGGAGGAGUCUGCUUUGGGUCAGCUUUUUGAGUGUUCCUGGAGUCAGAGUGCAAAAAUGCGCUGAUCCUCACGGGUAGGCAGUGCUGCUGCAAACAGCACACCUAAGCAAACGGGGUCCAAGCACCACCCACGGAGCAACAAACCCCAAAUCCUCAGUUAAUGGAAGCUGAAUGUGCACGCCGUGGUCCUCCUUCCUUGCCCAGAGGUAUCAAGGCCAGUGCGAUCACUGCACAAGUGCUCCAUCCAUUGGGAUGCUGAGCGAGAGAUGUGGCUCCUGCUGUUCCCAUUCAGCAUCACCUCGGCCCACAGCUCUGUCCGUUCUCAGACAAGAGGACCAUGUGGCUUGCAGGUGAGCUUGGCUUUUUCGGCCCUUUUUGGGUUACAACACAGAAAACGGAGGAGAGAGGUGUGGGGAGGAAUGACCUUUUCCACCUCAGGAUGUGGGACGAGCUUGGAGCAUCCUCAGCCCAGCAGAGGAGAAAGCAGCCAGGAAAACACUGGAAGCAAGAGCAACCUUGGGAUUAGGACAAUUAGAAGCUGCUGGGAUUUGCAUAGCCUAAUUAAAGAUUCACUGAGCAGACACAACGAGACCAAGCCUGAGCAGCCGCCCCGUGCUCAGCAUUUCCCUGUGGACGCCCUGGGUCCUGUUUCAGGGCAUGAUUCACGUCCCACACGUAGGAGAUCUCUGCUCUCACGGGGUGCAAUAGGAGCUGAGUCCUGUGGAGCCAUCCCCUGGGAGCAGCCAGAGGCUUAGUACCCAAUUUGGGGCAGAAUUUUUCAUUUUGAGCAAGGAGAGCAACCCGUGAUGCCAACACAGACAUUCCUCACAUUUGGCUUUGGGUGUACUUCUCAACCCAAAAGCCCCAACUCCUCAACCCAACAAACCCAGCUCCUCAAGCCAAUGAACCCAACUUCUCAACAAACCCAACUCCUCAACCCAAAAACCCCAGCUCCUCAACCCAACGAACCCAACUCCUCAACCCAAAAUCCCAACUUCUCAACCCAACAAACCCAACUCCUCAACCCAAAAUCCCAACUUCUCAACCCAACGAACCCAACUCCUCAACCCAAUUAGCCCAACUUCUCAACGAAUCCAACUCCUCAACCCCCAAAUCCCAACUUCUCAACCCAACGAACCCAACUCCUCAAUCCAAUGAACCCAACUCCUCAACCCCAAAAUCCCAGCUUCUCAACCCAACGAGCCCAACACCUCAACCCAAUGAAUGCAACUCAACCCAACGAUGUUUUUCCACCUGUUGGCACAAAGUGGGUUUCCCCACUCAUUGGCAAUCCUCAUAGCCCUGGAUGGUUAGCCGUGGAACAACCCUGGAUGGGAUUUGUUUCCACCUAUCUGAGCACUGAGCACUGCUUCUUGCUGAGCUUUGGACCUUGGACCUUUUCCCUGCCACCAGGUUGCAGGGAGCAAGGCUGAAGUCACCGCAACAGCUGGAGCUUGGCAGCAUUGCCUUCCUCCUCCUCCCCAUAUGGCGGGCAGGGAAAGCUGCACAGGGGCUGAAUCCAGAAGCAAAAGGAGGAAAAUCUGUCAGGAUGCGGGCAGCCCUGCUGGUCCGCAGAGAGCUGGAUGCUAUCCCACUCACCCCUUUGCGAAGUUGUCCUUGAGGGUUUGUUUUUGCAGUUAACCUUUGCAGAAGUACGUAAAAGUUUCAGCGGCGUGAACAACGAGGAAAAAUGGUUCCAACCCCAUGAAUAUGGAAGACUCCCAAGCACAAACACGGAAGAAGGAAAAGUGAAGGGAAUGAGGAGGUCCCGGCCCUUCCUGGUGAAGGGAGGGGUUCCUGAGGCUUCCUUAAUGCAGCCCGCUGGGAAAACCAUUGUUUUCCCUUCUCCUCCCACAAAGCUCAUGGCAGAGCCCGGUGCUGGGGACUCAGUCCUCCCAUAUCUGCCCCAAUAUGUGGACGGUUUGGGGUCUGCGAUAGGGGUACUACAACCCCUCGUGUCAAAUCAUCCCCACGGCUGCAGCCCUCGUGCAAGCCGCUUUCUUUCUGCAGUUUCUUUUUAAUUCGCUUUUUUUUCCGAGUGAGAUGUCCCCGUUCUCGUCCAUCCAUAACGGCGCUCGUUGGGGAUUUGGGGAUAUUUUGCCUGGGCAGGGGAGGCCAAAGCCGUUGUUUCCCAGUGGGUGAUAAGAAGCCCUUGCUGGGUUGGGAUCCACAUGUUUGCAUGCCUGUGGGGACGCAAAUCUGAGCAUCACGUUACAGGAAGAAUCAGGAGAAGCAGACUGGAUAUGGAAAUGCCGAGCAAGACCCGUCACGCUCCCCGAGCCGUAAUUAGGGAGCACUAAUUGCCUUCAGGAUCCUCCUUCCCAAAGCAGCUGCAUCCCCCAGGUGAUCCCAAACCAUGGAUGGCUCGAUGACCGUGAGCAAAGGGCUAUGAGAACGGGAUACCCAUGGUUUCCUCCCAGCGAAAAGGCAUAGCUUGUGUUAAUUCAUGGAGAGUGCCUCGUUCUGCACCAAUUAGGAAGCGAAAUGCAGAAGCGGAACUGCUUAUUAAAUUACAGACCAGGCAGGCUGAAUCUGAAGAUUAUUUAACGCCGAGUGUUGCUAUGAGGCACUCGCAAAACUGCGUUGGGAUGAUAAUAAUAAUAAUAAUAAUAAUAAUAACAAUAAUGGGAGUGAUAUCGCUCAAAGUAACGAAGGCAUAAAUCAGGCAAACCCUGCCGGUAAAAAGGAGAAACACAUAGUUUGAGGACAAGGAAUGCAUCAAGUGCCGACACUGAGGAAUAAAGCAGCGUGCUCAGAGCGCCGUAAUUCAGAGCCAUUUUCCCUACAAUCGUAUUUUCAGCACCAAUUCGUUAUCUCAUCCCGCUAAGCCAAAGAGAUGAGAAACAUUAAAGUCUCUUUGAGUGCGAGCAUCCUCACCCCUGAUAAAAAGAGCUGAGCCGCUUCUUGUUCGGCUUCUUCCAUGCAGCCGCACCAGAAACCAUCCCCAAAUGGAGAAGGCAAUGAGAAAUGGGUGCAGAUCUGGAUAACAGAGGUGGAGUGGCGUUUUGCUGCCCUCUGCAUCACCCUCAGCGCCGCACUGACCCCGGGGCUGCGAUCUGGAAAUCCAUGCUUGCAGGGUGAGCAAGAGCUGGGACGGAUCGUGGGGCACGCAUGUGAGUGGAGCAGGGCGGAGGUUUGCACGCUGCAAGCACCAGCGUUUGGUUUGUCAUCCAAGGGAAACAAAACCUCAGCCCUGAGCAUCUCCCAAGCGCAGCCUUUGGGACACGGUCAGCUCCACGUCCCUGCUCUGCGUGCUGAGCCUGGAGGAUGGUGCAGAGGGAUGGAGGAUGCAGAGGGAUGGAGGAUGCAGAGGGAUGGAAGAUGCAGAAGGAUGGAGGAUGCAGAAGGAUGCAGGAUGCAUGGGACACCUGAGCCGAUGGCACAGCUCCUGCUGCAGCCAGGAUGCAACCCCUGGGACUCGCAGCCUGGUGCUCUGUGGGAAAGGGCAGCCCUGGAGCUAUAAGGAGCAGCAGCCCGACAUGCCACCAGCACUGUGCAGCUCUGCUUUUCCCACAGAGCACCAGGACCAGCCUGCUGCAUUCCUGGAAUGCUAUUUUAUCCCCAGCACGAUUUACAAAAGAGCCUGGCGAUGGCGGAGGGGCUCGGCGGUGACCUUGUUUAUAUUGCGGGAGCGAUAGGAAAAGCAGUUUGCGUCCUGAACUGCCCAUAAAAAUGGGCUCUGUUGUUGUUGUUGUGCGCGUGCUUUGCUUUGUUUUAUCGCCAUUCCCUGAAACACGGAGCAAAAAUCCUCUGGGAGGCGGAUUGCCUCCAGCCCAUGCCCCUGCCAUGCUGAGAUCCCAGCGGGAGCGCAGCACCAGCACCACCAGCACCACCGGUUCCACUGGGAGCGACCCAACCUGCAGCCACCCCUCUGCAAACCACCCCAGGAAGCUGCCAGGAAGCCCAGCACGCUCCUCACGAAAGGCACAUUGCCACGGGGCCGGGCCCGCCUGCUGCAGGAGAUUAAUUAUUAUUCAAGUGCUGAUAAAGCGAGCAAGUUAAAUCCAGCGAUAAAGGGUUAGAUAAAGCGGAGCUGCUCUGUUUGCAUUUUAUGGCAGGCAGGAGCUGGCUGCUCGCUGCUAACCGGGCUCUGGCGGCUGUUGCAGCCUUUGGGGACGUGUGACCCUGUGCUGGCUGCAGUGGGGUUGCAAUAUCCUGAUGUUCCUGCACUUGGUUUGCAGCUGGAAAAGCAAACGCUGGAUGCACGGUGCUGGGGUUCUCUGCUUCGGGCGAUGGGUCCUGUGCUGGUCACUGGUGCUCAAUAGUGGCCAUCAAAGUGGGGACACCCCCAGAGCUCUGCUGUAUCCGUGUCACCGUGUCCUGCAAGGAUGCAGCAGGGGUAGCAGCGCUGCAGGAUGCUCUCAUUCCCCAGCCUGGAGCAUCUCUUAGUGGUCCGGUGACGGUGGGACGCUGGGGUGCAGGGUGUUGGGAGCCAUCCUGGGCACAGUUUGCCCUCACCCCUGGGGAUGCUGCACGCUCAGGGGGGCAAACAGAGCCACGAACCAGCACAGAUGGAACAGCCACAGCCUUGAAGAUGUUCCUGGAUCCUGGAGCUGCUUCCAGGAAUGAGGGGUGGGAGGAAGGGAGGAGAGGGCGGAUAGCGGCAGGGAGAGCUCCUCCGUGCUGCUGCUGAUGGGGCAGCCCAGCGGCCGGGGCUGUGGGGUGGUGGGAGCAGAGCUGGUGGGAUGAGCUGCAGGAAGAGGGAGGGGUUAUUGGACGGGUGAGGCUUCUCCCGAAGGCUCCAGGCCUUCCUCGCGCCUCUUCCUCCUUCCCCACCCACACUUAAUUCUCUCUAAUCUGCACGGGGACGUGCCUGCACGGCGCAGGGACCUCUGGCGCACGUCAGCAGGGAGCCAGGGGCCGGUCAGAGCAUUGGGGCCGGGUCCUGGCUGCGAGCAGCGACGUUUCCACUGCAGCAUCAGCUCCGUGAGAGCAGGAGCAGCUCCGAAUCGCUCCCAGCUGCCUGCGGUCGAAAAGCAAGCGAGCAAAAAGGGAGGUUCGUAGCCAGAGCGUGCGACACGUGGAUGGGGAGACGCACACGUGGAUGGGGUGAUGCACAAGACGCAUACGCAGAUGGGGAGACGCACACGUGGACGGGGAGGUGCACACGUGGACGCAGAGAUGCGCAUGUGGGUGCAGGGAUGCGCACGCCGCACCCCCACUGCUGCAGUCUGUGCCCACGGUGUGGGGCAGGAAACCCAGCACUUGUGUUUUGCUGGCAAUGGUGGGCAUGGAUCCUGCUGCAAGUGAAGGAAACGCUCGGGGGGAGCCCUCUGGGUGGGGGGGGUCAGGAGGAGCUGCACCUCUGGGCACAGCCCUGUGCACGCUGCCGCCUCGGGCACCAAGGCAGAGAUGCAGAAGAUUCGGCGCUCAGACGAAGAGGAUGGUGGGAGGAAGGACUGCAGUGCCCCGUCCUACACGGUCACAAUUCCCCCGUUCUUGUCCCAGGGACCGAGCCCUGAGGGCUGUCCCCAAGGUGGUGACAGCAGCGAGGAGCCCAGGGUGAGCCCACAGCCCCCGGGGUGGCUGCCAGCAGCACAGUGCCUGCACUGCUCACCUGUAGCUGACG